CUCCCACCACCACCACUCGCCAGACUCUGCUUAAAGAUAUAAAAAAUUCCCAAGCUUGGCUGCUGCAGAACAUCACACUAACACUAAUUUAAAAUGCACUACUUCCAGACAGCACGAGCUUGAAAUUACCUCCAAAUCUCUUCCUUCCCUGUCCUUCUCAUGCCCUAUGCUACCCCCUGCCAAAACACAUACAACGCUUGCUGUGCCCUUCAAACAACAGUAGUCAUUUAAGCUGCUCCUGCCCAUCUGGAAAAUAAUAUGAAUAACAUGAAAGAAAGCAAUAAUGAAGUGACUGGAAUUUAGCAACCAAAAAGACCUCAGUUCUUUUGAUAAUCAAAAACUUUGUUAAAAUGUUUACAUCGACAGUCACUACAGUGUUGGUCUUUCACUCUAUGUUGCAAUAGUAUGUUUGCAACUUCUCCAAAUCCAUUUAAAUGAAAAUAUUUAAUAACAAGUUUUAAAUUUUAUCAAUUGUUAAAUAUGAUUUGAAAGUUUAGUGUAUGUCCUGAUAUAUAGUAUGCCUUGAGACUGAAUAUAAGUAGCUCUAUGGGAAAAUUCUGAAAAUGAAUUAGGAAUAAGUAGAUUAAUGUGCUUUUAGUCUCAAAGACUAGAGAUUAAAAAGGCAUGGGUAAUUUUUAACUGAGAGGUGGUGCCACAGAGAAGUCUAUGAUUCUCUCUUUUUCAUUACCCAUCCCAGUUUAAAAUUAGCUUGCAGCAUGUUUUUUAAACAUUAGGAAAACAAGAUGCACUCCCAGAAUGUUCAUGUGAAGGGCACGUGUGAAGACAUAAUCUUGACAGUCAUAUUACAGAAAAUAAGGGAGUGAGUUACUGAGUUUUUAACAAGGAGAGUAAGUUACUGAGUUUAAAUAAAACCUAAUUUGCUGUGUGUUUUUAUUUAGCAGAAUUUUGAAUGCCCGUUGCCUCCGUGGCACUAGGCAACCACAAAGGCAACUGAGGUCUGAGACAAGGCAUCAGGGAGAUAGGAUCCUUUGGCCUCCUCUGGCCCAACUGACAUAACUGAGGUUGGUUCCUUUCCUGGUAUCCACACUCCCCUCUCCUCACCAACAAUCCCCCUGACGUUGGCUCUGAAUGAUGUGGAGACCCUGUUAGUGUCGUCGCAUGUUAAAUCUAGAUUUGGGAAUCUGCACUGCACACCUUAUGUCAAAACUCAGAGCUGUUGUUUUUAUAUUUUGUUUUUGUGUUUUGUGUUUUUAUUUCAGAUGCAGGGGAUACAUGUGCAGGUUUGUUACACAGGUAUACUGUGUGAUGCUAAGGUUUGGGCUUCUAAUGAUCCCAUCGCCCAAGUAGUGAACAUAGUGCCCCAUAGGUAGUUUUUAAUCUCUUGCCCUCCUCCCAUCCUGCCCCCUUUUGGGAUUCACAGUGUUUACUAUUCCCAUCUUUGUGUCCUUGUGUACCCAAUGCUCAGCUCCCACUUGUAAGAACAUUCAUAGCCACUGUUACCUCAUCACCAUGUAACAUUCCAAGGGUUUAAAAUGCACAAUACAAUCAUAGUUCUUUUGAGAUCAUGGUUGACUGUCCUGACAAAGGAGAACUUUUAGCUGCCCCUCCUCCACCCAGGGAUAGAAGUGGACUUGGUGAAAGGCAGGUGGCCUGUGACAGCAGUGGCCUGCCCAGGCACGCAGAGGCUUGCUCUCACUUUUAGAGUACUUGGUACAUUUGGCACUGUGCAGCAACUUUUUGCUUCUUGAAUUGUGACCAAUCAAAAAUGAUGAAACAAGGCCAUUGAAGGGAGUGGAAAGAAAUUAACUGAUGCGCCAGGAGUCCUGGUCUACCCUUGAUCAGUAGGUGUUACAUAACGGAGGGCAAGUCACAGAGCAGGCAGAAACCUCUGUUUUCUUACCAGAAAAGAUAGGUCCAAAAUGAUCGACUCCUCCAAGAACAAUAAGGGAAAAGAUGAGAUUUCAGAUGGAAAAAAAAAAAACCCAAUAAGGGGUGGUCUAGGUGACUAUAAUCUCACUCUGCCAGAAGAGCUAGACGACCAAGCUUGAUGCACACAGCAGGGGAAGUAGCAGGACCAAGCUGCUCAGAACUGGUCAGAGUAGUGGACAAUUUCGUGCAGAUCUUACAGGCCUCUUUUUUGUUUUUUGUUUGUUUUAAGAUAGGGUCUUGCUCUGUCCCCCAGGCUGGAGUGCAGUGGCAUAACCACAGUUCACUGCAAGCUCGACCUCCCUGGGGUCAGGUGAGCCUCCCCCAUCAGCCUCCCAAAUAGCUGGGACUACAGGUGUGCACCACCACACCCAGCUAAUUUUUCUAAAAAAUUUUUGUAGAGAGGGGGUCUCGUCAUGUUGGACAGGCUGGUCUUGAACUCCUGGGCUCAAGUGAUCCACCCGCCUUAGCCUCCUAAAGUGCUGGGAUUACAGGUGUGAGCCACCACGCCUGGCCUUUUUUUUUUUUAAGACCUAAAUGGAUGCAGAAGAAAUUUGGCUGAUGUUUUUUGGCUGGAUUGCAUAUCAAAAUCCCCUGGGAAACUAGGUCCCACCCCAAUAAGCCUGAGGUAGUGUUAGGGAUGCAAAUCCUAGCACAAGCGCUUGCAAAGGCUCUCCAGGUGACUCAUACAGCUUCAACAUACAUGCAGCACUGAAUCUGAUUCUUCAUCUCAAUACCUUCGAAAUCCUACUCCUUUGACCCCACAGUCCCUCUUCAGGGAGGCUGUCCUAUAGAAAUAAUGAGAUAUACAGACAAUUUUUGUAUAAAGAUGUUCAUAACAACACUAUUUAUGACAGGAAAAAUUAAAAGGGAACCAAUGUCAAAGCUAGGGAAAUUAUUGAGCAAGUUAUAAUAUAUAAACCAAAAAAGAUAUACAAAUGGCCAAAAAGCACAUGAAAAGAUGCUUAACAUCAGUCUUUAGAGAAUAUAAAUCUCUAAGAACUACUUCACCAUUUCUGGUGUGUGUGAGAUACCAUUUCACACACACUAGAUGGCUAAAACAAAACAAACAAACGAAACCCAGAAAACAGUGUUGGGAAGAAUGUGAAGAAAUUGGAACAUUGCUGAUUGGAAUGUAUAAUAGUGCAGCUGCUGUGGAAUUUUAUUUAGCUAUUUAGCUUGGUAGUUCCUCAAUAAGUUAAACAUGGAAUUACCAUAUAAUUCAGAAAUUCCACUGCUAUGUGUAUAUCCCAAAGAACUGAAAAUAGGUGUUGAAGCAAAAACGUGUACCUAAAUGUCCACAGCAGUACUAUUCACAACAGUCAAAAGGUAGAAACAACCCAAGUGUCCACCAACCGGCAUCAACUGAUGAAUGGAUAAACCAAAUGUGGUACAGCCGUAGAGUAAAAUAUUACUCAGCCAUGAAAAGGAACAGCGUAUAAUGAUAGAUGCUACAACAUGGAUGAACCUUGGAAACAUUAUGCUAAGUGCAAGAAGCCAGACACAAAAGGCCACAGGCUGUAUGAUUCCAUUUAUAUGAAAUAGCCACACAUAGAAACAGAAAGCUGAUUAGCAGUUACCAGGGAUCGGGAGGGAACGGGAAGUGACUGCUUCAUGGAUACAGAGUUUCAUUUGGGGUGGUGAAAAUGUUCUGGAAUUAGUAAUAAUGGCUGCACAACACUGUGAAUGUACCUUUUAAAAUGGUUAAAAUGGUAAAUAUCAUGUUAGGUGUAUU
rnacentral:lncRNA from 10 species